rnacentral:rRNA from 1 species
UACGGAGGGUGCGAGCGUUGUCCGGAUUUAUUGGGUUUAAAGGGUGCGUAGGCGGCUUUUUAAGUCUGGGGUGAAAGCCCGCUGCUCAACAGCGGAACUGCCCUGGAUACUGGAGAGCUUGAGAGUAGAGGAGGUUGGCGGAAUGGACUGAGUAGCGGUGAAAUGCAUAGAUACAGUCCAGAACACCGAUUGCGAAGGCAGCUGACUACACUACAUCUGACGCUGAGGCACGAAAGCGUGGGGAGCGAACAGG